rnacentral:rRNA from 1 species
UACAGAGGGUGCAAACGUUGUUCGGAUUUACUGGGCGUAAAGGGCGCGUAGGCGGCGCGGUAAGUCACUUGUGAAAUCUCUGAGCUUAACUCAGAACGGCCAAGUGAUACUGCAGUGCUAGAGUGCAGAAAGGGCAAUCGGAAUUCUUGGUGUAGCGGUGAAAUGCGUAGAUAUCAAGAGGAACACCUGAGGCGAAGGCGGGUUGCUAGGCUGACACUGACGCUGAGGCGCGAAAGCCAGGGGAGCAAACGGG